GCACUGAUGAAGAGUCCCACAAUGGGAGGAAACGGCCGUUCAGUGC
rnacentral:hammerhead_ribozyme from 1 species